AACGAACGCUGGCGGCAUGCCUAACACAUGCAAGUCGAACGAGACCUUCGGGUCUAGUGGCGCACGGGUGCGUAACGCGUGGGAACCUGCCCUUAGGUUCGGAAUAACUCCCCGAAAGGGGUGCUAAUACCGGAUAAUGUCUUCGGACCAAAGAUUUAUCGCCUUUGGAUGGGCCCGCGUUGGAUUAGCUAGUUGGUAGGGUAAAAGCCUACCAAGGCGACGAUCCAUAGCUGGUCUGAGAGGAUGAUCAGCCACACUGGGACUGAGACACGGCCCAGACCCCUACGGGGGGCAGCAGUGGGGAAUAUGGGACAAGGGGCGAAAGCCUGACCCAGCAAUGCCGGGUGAGUGAUGAAGGCCUUAGGGUUGUAAAGCUCUUUUACCCGGGAUGAUAAUGACAGUACCGGGAGAAUAAGCCCCGGCUAACUCCGU
rnacentral:rRNA from 1 species